rnacentral:rRNA from 2 species
CUCCUUCAUGGGAGAUGAUUGAAAGAUGGUUUCGGCUAUCACUUACAGAUGGGCCCGCGGUGCAUUAGCUAGUUGGUGAGGUAACGGCUCACCAAGGCAACGAUGCAUAGCCGACCUGAGAGGGUGAUCGGCCACACUGGGACUGAGACACGGCCCAGACUCCUACGGGAGGCAGCAGUAGGGAAUCUUCCGCAAUGGACGAAAGUCUGACGGAGCAACGCCGCGUGAGUGAUGAAGGCUUUCGGGUCGUAAAACUCUGUUGUUAGGGAAGAACAAGUACGAGAGUAACUGCUCGUACCUUGACGGUACCUAACCAGAAAGCCACGGCUAACUACGUGCCAGCAGCCGCGGUAAUACGUAGGUGGCAAGCG